rnacentral:rRNA from 1 species
GAGCGCAACCCUUGUCCUUAGUUACCAGCACGUUAUGGUGGGCACUCUAAGGAGACUGACCGGUGACAAACCGGAGGAAGGUGGGGAUGACGUCAAGUCAUCAUGGCCCUUACGGCCUGGGCUACACACGUGCUACAAUGGUCGGUACAAAGGGUUGCCAAGCCGCGAGGUGGAGCUAAUCCCAUAAAACCGAUCGUAGUCCGGAUCGCAGUCUGCAACUCGACUGCGUGAAGUCGGAAUCGCUAGUAAUCGUGAAUCAGAAUGUCACGGUGAAUACGUUCCCGGGCCUU